rnacentral:rRNA from 1 species
UACGGAGGGUGCAAGCGUUAUCCGGAUUCACUGGGUUUAAAGGGUGCGUAGGCGGGCAGUUAAGUCCGUGGUGAAAUCUCUGAGCUUAACUCAGAAACUGCCAUGGAUACUAUCUGUCUUGAAUAUUGUGGAGGUAAGCGGAAUAUGUCAUGUAGCGGUGAAAUGCUUAGAUAUGAACAUAGAACACCAAUUGCGAAGGCAGCUUGCUACACAGUUAUUGACGCUGAGGCACGAAAGCGUGGGGAUCAAACAGG